UAGCAGACGUGAAGGCAAUCUUUGUACAUCGGAAAGCAAACAAAGAAAAUGUUACGUUUUAAAAAUGUCAAAAUCUAAAAAUACAACUCAAUGCAACCUUCUUGUGAUGUUUGUAUAAAGUCUUUGCUGUUUUUGAAAUGCUGGACAGUUUUUGAACGUUGUUGUAAUCUUGAAAAAUUGGACAUUAAAGAUUACUGCCAGUGGAGAAUAUUUGUGUGAGAUCUAUGAAGUGCCCAUGAAAUGACACAUUGCUAUGAUGAACUUCGAAAGUAUAUAGAGUGACAAGUGAACAUUGUUAUGAACAUUGAAAUGAACAUAGUGUGAACUGUCAAGCCAAGAUGAAGAUGUCAAGAUUUUAUGUUUGUUGUCUUUCCCAUGAAAUGCAAAUGCCCUUGUAAGACUUGAUAGUAGUAGAAAAAUAUUGACAUUUUUUUUUCAAGGGGGGGGGGGAGGAAUCUGUUAGACACCUUGUUUAUAGUAUUAGUUAUUUAGCGACGCACCAUAGAAGACGUAUAUUGAAAGGGACUAGUGACGUUUGGAAUAAUUUGGGUUAGAGACUGGAAAAUCAGUUAGCAAUAGGAUUCUCUUGGGUAAAGACGUGUUUACUUGACAGAGACUUUUACUAUGGCCCUUUCUUGGAAUAAAUAUCUUAUGAAUCGUUCAUCAGUGUUGACCACAUCUCUUCACUCGUUAAAUAGAUGGUUUGUUUAUUCUGUAUUGUUGAUCAACUACAUUGAAUACACCCGAACAAUAAAACUCAAACGCUUGCAGAGUAAUUGAUUGAAAUUCAACAGUCAUCUAUAGUUGACCUCAAGACAGUCUGAA